ensembl:lncRNA
CCUAACGGAGGUGUAGAUUACAUCUCACAUUCCAGUGUUCCUAAUGGAGGUGUAGAUUACAUCACACAUUACAGUGUUCCUAAUGGAGGUGUAGAUUACAUCUCACAUUCCAGUGUUCCUAAUGGAGGUGUAGAUUACAUCUCACAUUCCAGUGUUCCUAAUAGAGGUGUAGAUUACAUCACACAUUCCAGUGUUCCUAAUGGAGGUGUAGAUUACAUCUCACAUUCCAGUGUUCCUAAUAGAGGUAUAGAUUACAUCUCACAUUCCAGUGUUCCUAAUAUAGGUGUAGAUUACAUCUCACAUUCCAGUGUUCC